UCUGGUGUCACAAUCCACGAACUUCUAAGAAUUUUCUACAAACACUGGUUUAAAAUAAAUACAUCUGUUCUCGAAAUAAAAAGAGACAGGAAAUCUAAUAUAGAGGGAAGGGUACUCCAGUGUCUGCGAACACUGGCAGAUCUACCUUGGGUCUCUUAUGGAUGAAGGCAGCAACCCAAACUCUGAUCAGUGCGUUCCAGUAUCGGGAUCUGCACAAAAAGUGUAGAGUGCAAUAUUAGUACAACUGACCCCAUGUACUGGUAAAUGCCGAACCUAACCUCACAAGUAGUGACGAGGCUAGGACACGACAAACAACAUGAACUUGUGCAAUUAAAUCAUAUACGAGAAAAUAACAAUAAAGGAAAUUUAACAGUUAAUAAUGGGAAACAGAUAAACAUGCUGAGGUGACUAUGAAUAUUCUGAAAAUAAUACAGUACAGGAACACAGUAAAUAUCAUACUUUGAACCAAUGAAAGUAAUAACACAGUAGUCACAUGCACGACAUCACCCUUCGUUCUUUUACUCUCGUCCUUACCCUAACAAAUAAUAGAAACGACACAACAUCACCCUUCAUGCAUUAACUAUCUCAUAAUUAUGGCAUGACAUCACCCUUCGUGCAUUAUCAAUAUUAGAAUACGGCACGACAUCACCCUUCGUGUAUUAACACUCAUAGAAUACGACACGACAUCACCCUUCGUGCUUUAUCACUCACUCACAAAACAUUGCACGACAUCACACUUCAUGCUUUACACUCUUCCUUACCCAAAUAGUAGAAACAAUAACAAUCCAACAAGGGAAUUAUUAAUAAACAACCUCGUUUCAACAUUUUUUCACGACCCAAUUUUCCCUCCAUUGGGUUUCGUGAUGGCACCUAGUUUUAGGGACUAGGUAAGCCUAACAAUUUUUGAAUAUCAACAAUAAGGAAAAUCCAACAGUCUUAAUAUAGAAUCUUUACAAAUUUAUAGUUUUCCCAAAACCAGUAGUACAAGACAUAAGCUCUACAGAGUUUUGCUGCAACUUCUAAACACAAUCGUAUGGAAAUAAGUACAACAAUGUGAAUAUAAAAUAGGAAGGUCACUCCGCAGCCUGCGAACGCAGUAGCAGGUUUACCUUGAGUCUCCACCGCAAUGACCCACACAACUACUAUCGAUCAAAUACCUGUAUCUUUACACAAAAAUGUACAGAAGUAUAGUAUGAGCACACAACAGCAGUGCCCAGUAAGUAUCAAGACUAAUCUCGAUAGAGUAGUGACAAGGAAUAGUCAAGGCACCUACUGGUCAAAUAAACUGAACAUGAUAUAAUGAUAAACUAUCGGAAUAUGAUAAGAAGGUAAUAUCAGCAACAGGGAGAAACUCAACCACAAACAGUAGAACAAUAAAGGGAAACACGGAUAGAAACGAAGAUAACUAAGUAAAUUAACACCAACAUAGCUGGGACACAGACAAGAACAAUGUACUCCAAUAAGAAAGGCGAUGUCAACUCAGUUAAUUAUAUCAUUUCUGAUGCACAAUUCCAGCCAUCUCAAACUCGAUGUCUCAUAUCAUAACCUCAACUACCAAACCUUUAGCACACCCGGUACCUCGUACCCACUUAUUUCUAUCUCACUUUACGCAAUGAUGUUCUCAUGCUACUCAGUACAUAUGGUUCAUAACCAAUGUAAUUAAGAUGUUCGAGGAGUCUCAUUUACAUAACAUAAAGUAGAGUACAAUUUAUAAACCAACUAGGAGCUCAACAAGAAAAGACGAAGUUAUUAUUAGAAAUCAUUUGAAUAAAGAAGGUACCAUUUUCAAUUAAAAUACAACAUCGGAUGAUUAUCUCCUUUAAAAAGGGAUUUAAUAAAUUAACUUAGUAAAAAUUCCUUUUUAAGUAAAAUACAACCUCAAACGGUUUAAGGAAAAUUUAAUUGAGAAAUUAAUUGGGUUAAAAACAUAACAAUUGCUGAAAUUUGAAGUAUUGAAAUAUGUAUAAAAAUAAGGCGAGGUAUUGUAAAUAAUAUGGAUUCCAACACAACGGAUUACAUCAGUAAAGGAAUCUAAACCGUUAAAUAACAACAAUUACAACAGAGACAAAAUAAUCACAGAAGGAGUACAGCUCAACACAAAGAUAACAACCGGGGAUCUCCCAGGAUAUCGUCCUGUAGUCCCAAAUGUAAAUACUCGGGGAUCUCUCAGUAUCCUCUAUGUAUGAGCUAGGGAUCUCUAGGUAUCCGCAAUAUAUGUGUUGGGGAUCUCUUGGUAUCCCGAGGAUCUCUUGGUAUCCUCAAUAUAUAUGUUGGGGAUCUCUUGGUAUCCAAAGGAUCUCUUGGUAUCCUCAAUAUAAGUGCCGGGGAUCUCUUGGUAUCCCAAGGAUCUCUUGGUAUCCACAAUAUAAAAGUCCAGGGGGAUCUCCCGGGAUAGGUCUUAAACACAUCCACAGCUCAAUAAAACACCACAAUGUAAAUAUCAAUAACACUAAUCUCCAUAUUACAAGCAUUGCUUUAUCAUAAUGAUAUCUGGACAUGAAAUAGAUCAUAUAUAUGCCCAUAACCACGUCUCUGGUUUUAAUAGUUGUUCAUAAAUCACAACAUUGCCAAUUAAUCUCAUGUUAACAAAAUAUGGUUUCAAACCUCAAAUUUACUAACAAUGAGGUAUGAAGACGUCAUAAUUACUUACGCGAAUUAACGAGUCACAUUUAAUGCCACUCGGGCACUUACCUCGUCGGCUAAAACUCAAUAAUUACAACACGAAUUUGGCAUACUAUACAUAGAGAAUUUCAUAAAAGAAUUUUUCAACUAAGCCUAAUAGGCAUGACUCUCUAUAAGUACUAUAGUACAAUUUUUUUUUUAAUUUCACAAGGGAGAAUUUAAACAUAUAAAAUUUUCACCACAGGGACCUCGUCCUUACAUAGCAUGCACCGCAACUUGUAGCUCGGUUUAAAUAUUUUACAUCAUACAAAAAAACACGAGGAUCUCCUCCGUACCACAACUAAUAUGCAUAUUGUGCCAACUGCAAUUUUCCAUUUCCUUUCUUUCUUCUUCUAAAUAAUUCCAUUAACCGAAAUCACAACAUAUAAUGAGCCCUCAUACCGUUAGGGCAUAUAAUUCAUAAUUGAAAUCUAUUAUUUGGAAAUUACAUUAAACUCACCAAAAUGAUUUAACGAAAGUGACUUUUAGUCUCACAACUAUUUUUAUUGCCCAACAUAUAAUGAUAGACAUGGCUAUCUCCAUAUAAUCUCCCAACAUGAGUAUUCACAUAAGUAGAUUUCAGGAUUACAAAGAUCAUUCAUGAUUGGAGCAUAUUAGGAGGAUUUGCCUCGAUACUCAUAACCGAAUCAAGUUAAUGAAAUUGUGACUUUAUAAUAACUUGAGAUCGCACUUGCAAUUAUACCAUAUGGUGUAGAGACCUCAACCAUACCAUAGAAAACAUAUAAAUGGGUCGGGCCUCCGCCUUUUAGGAGUCCUCUACCCGCUUGUCCUCCACCUAACUAGUAGUGUAGGUAGAGUAGUAACUGUAAUAGAGUACUUGGCUAGAGUGUUCUGAUGAAAUAUGUUUCUCCCAAGUCUGGGACAAUUUCUCAUGAUAUUCCUAGUAUCUCCACAUUCAUAACAACCCAUCUGCGGUGCGGUUGUUCAUACUGAGUCUAUGCCGGAUAACUAAAAUAACCCUGGUAGGAAAUCCCGUGCCACUGGUGCAUUAAAAGACGCCUUCCCCACGCGAGCGUUGUGAUUAACUUAAGCACUACAGGUAUACUGAAAUUAUUUCCAUGACCCCGCUGAUACUGAAAUGUAGAAUUAUUAAGGACGCGGGAAUAUCUCAAGUCCCAUCAUUAUCCCAUUCAAAUCUCAGCUCGUAAUCAUAUACAAGUAUUGGAAAACCUUUCAAUACCAUAUAUGUAUAGCUCAGGAAAACUAAUAUAACACAUAACCCCGCAAUCUAAUCGUUGAUAGUGGACUCCCUUCAUUUGGUGCGAAAUCAUAGGACCCAUUUCCGACGAUCCACAAUACUAACCUUCACCUCUCAUGCGACACCAGUCAUAAGACACCUCAAGCCAUUUACUUGGCGCAUGUCAUCCUUAUGACAGUUAAACUCACUUCCUCUAGUGUCUCAGUUGCUAGGAUGUACCCUUCGCUAAAUAGAAAUCUCAUGUGAACCACAGUCUCUAAUACCACCAACUAUCUUCAGACUUAGAUCCACCGCGUGAUCCUACCACGAUUGUGACGAUUAAGCAACUAAUUAAAACUUUUAAGAUCGUAUUUGUCAACCAGAUAUCAGAACCUGCUGCACCCCCAUGUGCACAACUGAAUGAUCUAUCAAUAAUUCCACAUCCUCGACCUGGACAACAAUAUGAUAACAAUGGUUGAGCAAUCCUGACUCCCUUAUAACCCCUCGGUAGUAUCACAAACCAUUGGCGUAUAAUUGAUACCGAGUGCGUAAUUUCAUACACGAGUGGAUGCAAAAGAACAUAAGAUAUAUGUUUUAAGCUUAAUGAAUGUCGCACGAUAAGGAAUAAAAAGGAAUGGAACAUAAUAGCUCUGUAGCCUCUCAAAGAAAAGUACAGAUGUCUCCGUACCGAUCCGUAAGACUCUACUUAACUCGCUUAUGACUUGUAGCACCUAUGAACCUAGAGCUCUGAUACCAACUUGUCACGAUCCAAUUUUCCCUACGUUGGGUUUCGUGAUGGCAUCUAGUCUUAGGGACUAGGUAAGCCUAGCAAUUUCUGAAUAUCAACAAUAAGGAAAAUCCAACAGUCUUAAUAUAAUCUUUACAAAUUUAUAGUCUUCCCAAAAUUGGUAGUACAAGUCAUAAGCUCUACAAAGUUUCACUACAACUUCUAAACCAAUCGUAUGGAAAUAAGUACAACAGUGUGAAUAUAAAAUAGGAAGGUGACUCCGAGGCCUGCGAACAUAGCAACAGGAUUACCUUGAGUCUCCACCGGAAGGACCCGCACAACUACUAUCGAUCAAAUACCUGUAUCUGUACACAAAAAUAUACAGAAGUAUAGUAUGAGCACACCAUAGCAGUGCCCAGUAUGUAUCAAGACUAACCUCGGUAGAGUAGGGACGAGGAACAGUCAAGGCACCUACUGGUCAAAUAAAUUGAACAUGAUAUAGCGAUAAACUAUUGGAAUACGAUAACAAGGUAACAUCAGCAGCAGGGAGAAACUUAACCACAAACAGUAGAACAAUAAAGGGAAACAUGGAUAGAAACGAAGAUAACCAAGUAAAUUAACACCAACAUAGCUGGGAGAUAGACAAGAAAAAUGCACUCAAAUAAGAAAGGCGAUCUGAACUCAAUAAAUCAUAUCAUAUCUGAUGCAUAAUUCCAGCCAUCUCAAACUUGAUGUCUCAUAUCAUAACCUCAACUACCAAACCUUUAGCACACCCGGUACCUCGUGCCCACUUAUUUCUAUCUCACUUUGCGCAACAACGCUCUCAUGCUACUCAGUACAUAGGGUCCAUAACUAAUGCAAUUAAGAUGUUCGAGAAGUCUCAUUUACAUAACUUAAAGUAGAGUACAGUUUAUAAACCAACUAGGAGCUCAACAAGAAAAGACGAAGUUAUUAUUAGAAAUCAUUUGAAUAAAGAAGGUACCAUUUUCAAUUAAAAUACAACAUCGGAUGAUUAUCACCUUUAACAAGGGAUUUAAUAAAUUAACUAAGUAGAAAUUCCUUUUUUAGUAAAAUACAACAUCAAACCGUUUAAGGAAAAUUUAAUUGAGAAAUUAAUUGGGUUAAAAACAUAACAAUUGUUGAAAUUUGAUGUAUUGAAAUAUAUAUAAAAAUAAGGCGACGUAUUGUAAACAAUAUGGAUUCCAAGACAAAGGAUCAUAGAAGUAAAGGAAUCUAAACCGUUAAAUAACAACAAUUACAACAGAGACAAAAUAAUCACAAAAGGAGUAUAACUCAAUGCAAAGAUAACAAACGGGGAUCUCCCAAGAUACCGUCAUGUAGUCCCAAAUGUAAAUACUCGGGGAUCUCUCAGUAUCCUCCGUAUAUGAGCUAGGGAUCUCUUGGUAUCCCGAGGAUCUCUUGGUAUCCUCAAUAUAUGUGCUGGGGAUCUCUUGGUAUCCCGAGGAUCUCUUGGUAUCCUCAAUAUAUGUGAUGCGGAUCUCUUGGUAUCCUGAUAAUCUCUUGGUAUCCUCAAUUUAUGUGCUGGGGAUCUCUUGGUAUCCUCAAUAUAUGUGCUGGGGAUCUCUUGUAUCCCGAGGAUAUCUUGAGGAUAUAAGUGUUGGGGAUCUCUUGGUAUCCCAAGGAUCUCUUAGUAUCCUCAACAUAAAAGUGCAGGGGGAUCUCCCGGGAUAUCGUCCCAUAGUCCCAAAGUAAACAUAUAGGGGGAUCUCCCGGGAUACCGUCCCGUAAUCCCAAAGUAAAAGCACAACAGUAAUACGAAGAAUACAAAAAAACAAUCCAACAACCCAAUCACAAGGAAUUCCACCACCAAGAGUAUGAAUACACGACAAUAAGAGAAUCACUGGAAAACCAAGAAGCACAAUAACCUUGACAAAACAACAAGACAUAAUAGGCAUAUGAUAACUACACCGACAACCACAACAAUUUGGACACCUAGCAUAUAUACACGGGGUCAUAGAAGAAUUCACAAUUUAGAGAUAACAAAACGAUAAGAAGAACAAUCGCUUCAGUUAAGGCAAAAAGGCCACGUAACAAGUAAGAGUUAGAGGGAAGCUAACAACAUCGUAUGGAGCAUAUAGAUGUAAAUUAAGCAAUUAGGAAACUUAAUCAUAACGGAAUACUUCCCACAUAAUGAACAUAAGGGCCUAAGAAACCUAAAGGCAAAUUUCCCACAAAUAAGUCUGAGCACACACUCGUCACCUCGCGUGCACAGACUACAAAUAGCAUAGAAGACUCAAAUCCUAAGGGAAAGUCCCCCACACAAGGUUAGGCAAGAUACUUACCUUGAACCAAGGUCAAAUCAAAUCCAAAAUCACGCUCUUGCCACGAGUAUCCAACUCCGGGUGGCCCAAAUCUAGUCAAAUCAAUUACAUAACGUAAAUAUAACUAUAAACAACUAAUUUAGCUAAUGAAAUCGAAGCUAAUACAAGAAAAUAGAAAAAUGUCCAAAAAUCCCCAUUGGGGUCGUAUCUCGGAACUCGACAAAAAUCACGGAAUAUGAACCCCCAUCCAACCACGAGUCCAACCAUACCAAUUUUGCUAAAUUCUGACAUCAACUCGACCCUCAAAUUUUCAACUAAAGUCUUGGAAGAUUUCUGCCAUUUUCAACCCAAAAAUGAGUAAUCUAGUCGGAAUAUUCGAUGAUAAUCCCAUACGAUUGACUAACAAUAACCACAAGUGACUUAUCUCAAGUUUCCCAUAAAUUCUUGCUCAAAAAUCAUCCAAAACAAAAUGGAAAACUAGGGUAUAGAACCUUACCUCUUUGAUGAAGAUUUUGUGAUAAUUCCUUGUUAAUCUUCAAAGAUUUGAGUAAGAAUUGAAGAAUGAUUUGAUGAAGAUCACUUUCUCACUCUACGGAUCCCUCUCUCGCUCUAAAGCAUCCGAAUUUUGCUCAAAAAUGAUCCAAAAUAAACCCCAAAGCCUAUUUAUCAAAAUGAGGUCGGGUUAUUAAAAUAGAAAAAUUAACCCUCCGAAAUCAGGUAUGCGAUCUCAUAAUCCAUCGUAUAAUGGGUAUGCAGGUCACAGAUGCGUCGUGAAACUCGGUGCCUAGAACUGGGCUGUUCUGCUUCAUUCUGCGGCCAUUUUGUGAUUGCAUAAUGAUUUUGCGGUUCGCAUAGUUAUUUUGCGAUCGCACAUUUGACCGCAGAAUCGCAUUUUUUCAGCUUUUGGUAAUUUGGUCAUAACUUUGUGUAGGAAUGUCCAAAUGACAAACGGUUUGAAGAGUUGGAAACUAGACUCAGAGAUCUUUAAUUAGAUAGGUUGUACAUCACAUUUCACCUUAUAUACAUGUAUAUAUGCUCAUCCAAAGUAGGCUCUUGUGCGCAUUCUCUUAAAUUUUUAGCAUAUUAUGAAAUUUUCCAACUUGGCUUAGUAUUAGGACUUUACUUAGACCCCAUAUAUCUUAUAAUAUGCCUUGUACACUUAUUAUCAUAUACAAUUGGUAUCCAACAUGUUAAUAGACCCCUUCCGCACGUAAAAUAAUAUAAUUAGAACACAUCAACUUUCUUAUUUCGCCAAAAUGCGCCUAAUUGUCCUACAGACUUCCAUAUCCAAAUACGGACACACGUAUAAGUCCGAAAUCUCCAUACGAAGCUAUUGGCAUCAUUAAAAAUUCAUUCCGAGGUCGUUUGCUCAAAAGUCAACUCUUCGGUCAACUUUUUCCAUUUGAACUUCAAAAUAAGAAUUUGUUUUUCUUUAAAUUUAACUCUGAAUCUUACGAAAACCAAAUUCGACCAUACAGGCGGGUCAUAAUGCAUAUUACAAAGCUUCUCAAGGUCUUAAGCUGUUGAACGAGACGCUAAUUCUUAAAAUAAUAGGUCGGGUCGUUACACAUUUAACUUCACAAUAUUGAUUCACAACUAGAGUCAAUACUCAACAAAUAUCUAAUACCUGGAAAACAUAAUAAGACUUGUUUAACAUGAUGAAUAACCAGUUUAAGCACGAACAAUACGUAUAAAGAAACAUAACAGUCACAAGUAUAAGAUUCACUUGCAUGCGAUGACCCGACAACAACGUAUAGAUACUCGUCACCUCACCUAUAUAUCGUACUCAACAACUAAACAUGUAGCAAAUAAGGCAACAAUACCUAAUACCUCAAGCUAAGGUUAGCCACAACACUUACCUCGAUUCCACGGCCAAACUCAAGCCUCAAUUACCGCUUUUUCCUCAAGAUUCCACCCCCAAUCCACUUGUAUCUAAUCAUAAUUAACUUAGUAAUAACAAUUAUCGCUAAAGAAAUCAAUUCCAUUGCAUAAUUACAAUUUCCCAACAUUUUUCCCAAAAAGUCGAAAACCAACCCCGGGCCCGCUUGGUCAAAACUCAAAGUUCAGAUCAAAACCCGAUUACCCAUUCACCCCUGAGCCUGGAUAUACAAUUGGUUUUGGAAUCUGACCUCAAUUUGAUGUCUAAAUCCCCAAAUUUUGAAAUUCCUAAAUUCUACCGGAAACACCCAAUUCCACCAUGAAAACCCUAGAUUUUGUGAUAAAAAUUUGUAAAAAGAUGAAAUAGAUUGAAAGAAAUGAGUUAAGAAUCAUUUACCUAUGAUUUGGGGAAGAAAUGGUCUUUGGAAAAUCGCCUCUUGAAGUUUAGGGUUUGAAAAUUUGAGAAAUGAAUCCAAAAUCCCGUCCAAAACUCAUUUUGAAUAGUUGCAGUUAUCGCAUUUGCGAUCACAGAUUCUCAAAUGCGAACUCGCAAAUGCGGACAUUACUUUGCUAAUGCGAAGGUUGUCCUGGCCUGUUGGUGUCGCAAAUGGGAACAAAUAUUCGCAAAUGUGGCCCCUGUUCUAGUCGCAAUUGCGACGAUGAGCUUCUCAAUUGCAAAGGUCCCCUCCCAGCCUACUGAUCCCAAAUGCGAAGAUUCUUCGCAAAUGCAAUGCUUGCAUAUUCGAGCCAGACUUCGCAUUAGACCUGCAACAUACCAGAAAAUUUUCCUAAAGUCCAAAAUCAUUCCGUAGCCUAUCCAAAACUCACCCGAGCCCUCGGGCUCCAAACCAACCAUGUACACAAGUCUUAAUACAUCAUACGAACUUGCUCAUGCGACCAAAUCCCCAAAAUAACACAUAUAACUAUGAAUUCAACACCAAAACACAUAAAAAUUUUAAGAUAGUUUGAAACUUCCUAUUUUCUCAACCAUAGGUUCGAAUCACGUCAAAUCACUUCCAUUUUUUCUCAAAAUUUUACAGAUAAUUUUAAAUAUUAUGACGGACCUGUACCGGGCUCCGAAACCAAAAUACGGGCCGGAUAAUAACAAGUUCAAAUAUUAUUCAAUUUCCAUAAACUAUUAUAUUUCCAGUUUAACAAUUUUCUUUAAAAAUUUAUUUCUCGGGCCAGGGACCUCAGAAUUCAAUUCCGGACAUAUGCCCAAGUCCCAUAUUUUACUAUGGACCCUCCAGGACCAUCAAAUCACGGGUCCAGGUUCGUUUGCCCAAAAUGUUGACCAAAGUCAACUUGAAUCAAUUUUAAAGGCAAAACUCAAUAUUUUUCUCAAAUUUUCAUAUAAGGGCUUUUCGAAAGCACGCCCGGACUGCACACGCAAAUCGAGGAAAAAAUAAGGUUUUCAAGGCCUUGGAACACAAAAUCGGAUUCUAAAACAAAAGAUGACCCUUUGGGUCAUCACAUUCUCCACCACUAAAUCAACCGUUCAUCCUCGAAUGGACAUAGAAUAAUGCUUGAGUCGGUGAAAAUAUGGGAAUAUCUGCUCCUCAUAUCGGACUCGGACUCCCAGGUAGCUCCCUCAAUAGGAUUACCUCUCCAAUGCACACGAAUCGAAGGGUAACUCUUCGAUCUCAACUGGCAAACCUGUUUGUCUAAAAUGGCUACCGACUCCUCCUCCCAAGCUAAAUCCUUGUCCAGCUGGACAGUGCUUAAAUCUAAUACGUGGAAUGCAUCGUCGUGAUACUUCCGAAGCAUGGACACGUGAAACACUGGAUGCACAACUGAUAAACCUGGCGGCAACGCAAGUCUGUAAGCCACCUCUCCCACUCGAUCAAGGAUCUCAAAAGGCCUGAUGUACCUAGGGCUUAGCUUUCCCUUCUUCGCAAAACUCAUCACGCCUUUCAUGGGCGACACCCGAAGCAACACUCUCUCUCUGACCAUGAAUGCUACGUGACGAACCUUAUGGUCGGCAUAACUCUUUUGCCUGGAUUGAGCUGCACAAAGUCUAUCCUGAAUGAUCUUAACCUUAUCCAAGGCAUCCUGUACUAAAUCUGUACCUAACAACUGAGCCUCUCCCGACUCAAACCAUCCCACCGGCGAUCGAUACUGUCUACCAUACAACGCCUCAUAGAGAGCCAUCUGGAUGCUCGAUUGAUAAUUGUUGUUGUAGACAAACUCCGCUAAUGGCAAGAACUGAUCCCAAGAACCUCCAAAGUCAAUAACACAGGCGCGGAGCAUAUCCUCCAAAAUCUGAGUAGUACGCUCGGACUAUUUGUCCGUCCGAGAAUGAAAUGCUGUGCUCGACUCAACCUACUUACCCAACUCAUGCUGAACUUGCCUCCAGAAAUACGAGGUAAACUGCAUACCUCGAUCAGAAAUGAUAGUCACGGGCACACCAUGGAGACAAAUGAUCUCAUGGAUAUAAACCUCUACCAAUCACUCAUAAGAAUAUAAAACUGCCACAUGAAUGAAAUACGCUGACUUGGUCAUCCUAUCCACAAUAAUCCAUACUGCAUCGAACUUUUUCUGAGUCUAGGGAGUCCAACAACGAAAUCCAUAGUGAUAUGCUCCCACUUCCACUCAGGGAUCUCAAUCUUCUGAAGUAAACCACCAGGUCUAUGCUCGUACUUUACCUGUUGACAAUUCAAACUCCGAGCUACAUACGCAACAAUAUCAUUCUUCCUCCUCCUCCACCAAUAAUGCUGCCGUAAGUCCUGAAACAUCUUGUCGGCGCUCGAAUGAAUAGAGUAUUGGUAUUUUGGACCUCCUCUAGAAUCAACUCACGAAGUCCAUCCACAUUGGGCACGCAAAUACGACCGUACAUCCUCAAAACUUCAUCAUCUCCAACUAUAACCUGCUUGGAAUCUACGUGCCGCAUUGUGUCCCUAAGGACAAGUAGAUGAGGGUCAUCACACUGCCGAUCUUUGAUAUGCUCAAAUAAUGAAGACAGAGUGACUGUACAAACUAGAACACGACUAGGCUCCGAAACAUCCAGCCUCACGAACUGAUUGGCCAAAGCCUGAACAUCUAAAACAAGCGGUCUCUCACUGACUAGAAUAUACUCAAGGCUACCCAUAUUAGCCGACUUCCUACUCAAAGCAUCAGCCACUACAUUGGCCUUCCCGGGAUGAUACAAGAUGGUGAUAUCAUAGUCUUUCAAUAGCUCCAACCACCUCCUCUUCCUUAAAUUUAACUCUUUCUUCUUGAACAAGUAUUGCAAACUCUUGUGAUCCAUGAACACCUCACACGACACGCCAUAUAAAUAAUGCCUCCAAAUCUUCAGCGUGUGAACAAUGGUUGCUAGCUCCAAAUCAUGAACCAGAUAGUUCUUCUCAUGAAUCUUCAACUGCCGUGAAGCAUAUGCAAUAACCUUUCCAUUCUGCAUCAAUACCACACCAAGUCCAAUACGAGAUGCGUCAUAAUACACUGUAUAUGGCCCUGAACCUGUAGGCAACACCAACACCAAUGCCGUAGUCAAAGUUGUCUUAAGCUUCUGAAAGCUCGCCUCACACUCAUCCGACCAUCUGAAUGAGCAACACUUCUGGGUCAACUUGGUUAUCGGGGCUGCUAUGGAUGAAAACCCCUCCACAAACCGAAGGUAGUAACCCCCCAAGCCCAAGAAACUCCGGAUCUCUGUAGCUGAUGUGGGUCUAGGCCAAUCCUUAACUGCCUCAAUCUUCUUAGGAUCCACCUGAAUACCCUCUACUGAUACAACGUGACCCAAGAAAGCAAUUGAACUCAACCAAAAUUCACACUUUUAAAACUUAGCAUAUAAUUGGCUGUCUCUUAGAGUCUGAAGAAUGACUCGAAGAUGCUGCUCAUGCUCCUCUUGGGUGCGGGAGUAGAUCAAGAUAUCAUCAAUAAAUACAAUCACUAAGGAAUCCGAAUAGGGAUUGAACACUCGGUUCAUCAAAUUCAUGAACGCUAUUGGGGAAUUUGUCAAACCAAAUGACAUCACUAGAAAAUCAUAAUGCCUGUACCGAGUCCAAAAAGCUGUCUUAAGGACAUCGGAUGCCCUAAUCCUAAACUGAUGGUAGCCAGACCUCAAAUCAAUCUUUGAAAACACCUUGGCAUCCUGAAGCUGAUCAAAUAAAUCAUCGAUCCUCGGCAAUGAAUACUUGUUCUUAAUGGUGACUUUGUUCAACUGCCGAUAGUCUAUGCACAUCCUCAUUGACCCAACCUUCAUCUUAACAAACAACAUCGGCACACCCCAGGGCGAGACACUAGGUCUAAUAAAGCCCUUGUCAAGCAAAUUUUGCAACUGUUCCUUAAAUUCUUUCAACUCUAGCGGGACCAUGCGGUACAACGGAAUAGAAAUGGGCUAAGUGCCCGGAGCCAAAUCAAUACAAAAGUCCAUAUCCCUAUCGGGUGGCAUCCCAUGCAGGUUUGCAAGAAAUACCUCAGGAAACUCACGAACUACUGGUACGGAAUCCAUGGAAGGAACCUCUGCAUUGGAAUCACGAGCAUAAGACAAAUAAGCCAAACACCCAUUCUCCACCAUACGCCAAGCCUUCACAUAAGAAAUGACCUUACUGGUAGAAUGACCAGGAGUCCCUCUCCACUCCAAUCAAGACAACCCCGGCAAGGCUAAGGUCAUGGUGUUGGCGUGACAGUCCAGUAUAGCAUGAUAAGGUGACAGCCAAUCCAUCCUCAAAUGACAUCAAAGUCGACCAUAUCAAGAAGUAGGAGAUCUACACGGGUCUCAAGACCCCCAAUAAUAACCACACACGAGCUAUAGACACGAUCUACAAUAAUAAAAUCACCCACCGAUGUGGACACAUAUACCGGAGCACUCAAAGAAUCACGAGGCACAACCAAAUACGUAAAAAAAUAAGAUGACACAUAAUAGUAUGUAGACCCUGGAUCAAAUAGAACUGAAGCAUCUCUACUGCAAAUUGAAACUGUACCGGUGAUAAUGGCAUCGGAUGCCUCAGCCUCGAGCCUGGCUGGGAAAGGAUAGCAUUGGGGUUGGGCCCUACCAUUCUGAAUUACAUCCCUGGGACAGCCUCCUGCCGGCUGGCCUCUGUCACACCUCCUUUUUACCUACACCCGGAAGGGUGUAAGGGAGUUUUUCCAAUUAAAGUGACAAUCGAAACGGGAUUAUUUUAUUUAAAAAUUCAAAGUCCCCACUUGGGAUAAUUUAUGGUGUCCCAAGUCACCGAUUUAGAAUCCCGAAUCGAGGAAAUAUUGACUCUGUUUUUCAGUCUGCGAACAUAGAAAUCCGGGUAAGGGAUUCUGUUAACCCGGGAGAAAGUGUUAGGCAUUCCCGAGUUCCAUGGUUUUAGCACGGUCGCUCAACUAUUAUUACUGGCCUAAUUAUCUGAUUUUAAAAACACUUUUAAACCUAUGGUGCAAUUUUAACUUAUUAACCACUUUUAAUUAAUUUUAGGAAGAUUCAACGUUAUCUAAAACACGUCUUGAACCACGCCAUAUGAAAUGCACCCACGGUCUGCAACAUAUUUUAUUUAACGUUGUUGAGAUUUGAAUUUGGGUCACAUAAAUGCACACCCGAGUUUAGGAAAUUAAUUUUUAAAUAGCAUGUCUAUAGCAACUAUGCUCUUUCAACUUUGCGAGGUCCAUGAAAAUUCAACUAAAUGGCACGCCUCGAUUUCUAAGGAUUAAAAAUUAAUUCAAUGAGGGCCAUGCAUUUGAGAUUUUUGUUUGGCACGACACACCUCAAAUUAUUUCAAAGUGGUUUUAUUAUCCGAAAUUGUUAUGAUUAGGUCACAUGAAAUGCACCCCCGAAUUUUGAAAUUAUAAAUCACAACUACGUCACGGGAACCAUACCAGUAGCCAUGAUAAUUUAAUUAUGUGCCUAAAGCAAACUAUGAUGAUUUCUGAUUAUUUUUCCUAAAAAUAGAUUAACCUUUCAUUCAAACAAGAUCCAAUUUCAAAUUUAAUGUCUUCAACAUAAUUGGCAUGAACUUAAAUAAUCAGAAUACUCCAAGUUUAAUCACGAUUCACUCAAAACGCAAAAUUAGCAUCACAUGGACUAACUUUUUUUUCGUCAAUCUGGGAACAUAAAACUUAAACUCAAUAGCAUAGACUAAAACGAUAUGUGAUACUACCAACUAUAUUUCUGAGUUGUAUAUCAUAUGCUUAUUUGGCUCACUUUUCUUUGCUAUAAAAAUACACUAAUUAAAGCACUAUCUUUUCCAGUUCAGCCACAUCAAUUUUUUUGCCAAUUCAAUCAGUUUCUUUUAAUGGCCCUCCAAAUACCUAUACUGCCUUAUAGGAAAGGAAAAUAAUUUUUUAUGAGUCAUGGAAAUCAUUGUGAAGUACAACUGAUACGUUCUAUUAUAAAUUUCACAUCGCUAUUGCAAAUUAAACAUAAUAUCAACCCAAGGUCUCCAUGAAUCAGAUUCAAUACCAAAUAAAGCAAUUAACAUAUCUCAAAUUAGAGAGGCGUGAGUGGACCUUUGAUGUUUAACUCGACCAAACAAAAGCCUUCAAUCAGAGACGAAAACUUAAUCAGCAGAACAAAACGAUAAUAGGACAACGCCGCCGAUCACAAACGGAACUUCGAACAGAACCUCACAUUCAUAACAUUGUAAUAACAUUGUAAUAUAACCAGAAUAAUAUGAAAGAAGUAAUCUUACCACCAAAAAUGGAAACCUCGAACCAGACCAGAAAACCUGCCGGAGCCGCGACAAAACUCCACAACGGGCCUCGUCGGAACCACGGACAGAACCUCAUCGUGAACUCAACCCGACUCAAACUCUGAACUCGCCGGAUUCCAGGGUUUUAAAUUGACAAUCAGAAGAAGAAACUAACAUUUGAAACAAAAAUCAAAGGACUUGAAUGCGAAGUCUGUCCUCCGUUUUUGUCGUUCGUCCCUUCACCACAAAAUCCCCAAAUUUCUUUUGCUAUGUCACUAUGUGUUUAUAUGAAGAAUCCCCAAUUGAAUAAAGUGUUUUUUGUUUGAGAAGAAAAUUUCAAAUGUAUGGCUGCUAUGAUAUUUGAAGAAGGAGGUGCCUCCUUUAUCCCUAAGUCAGCUUUUUAGUCUUUUCUUGGCAUUUCAGCUGAUGCAUUUUUGGGAGUCGACCAUGGGAACGACGGAUUCCAUUUUUGCAGAGUGUUUUUUUUGGCCUCCUCCUUAUAUUUUAUGUGUAGGUCCUAUUAUAUAGGGGUAGGGAUUAGGUUAGGGGUAUGGGCCUAGGAGUUAUGGGUUUGGAAAUUAUGGGCUAGGUCUAAAAUUAGACCUAAAAAUGAGUUGCUCGAUCCCAAGCUUUACUCUUUCCACGCGAAUGAGAUUAAAAUAUGAUCUUAUUUAUUAAUUGGUCCUACUUAAAUAAAAUAACUAUUAAAAUAAGACUGACCAUUAAAAUAAUACUAUUUUUGGUAUUUUUCAAGAUUAAAAAUAAUUACAAAACAUUAAUGAAAUUAUUUUGUAAUUUUCGUUUUCUUGUAUUAAAAUAAAAGUAAAAGAGUAAAAAUGAGUUGAAAUAGCUAUAUUAGGCCUAAAUUAAAUAUUUACGUGCUAAAAUAUGAAAAAUCUUGGGGAGGGUAAAAAAUCACAUGUCUACAGCUGCCCCUCUUUGACUGGAAAUACAAAGUAUUUUCAGACAAAGAAUGACUAGACAUGUUUUUUUGACCCGAGCC
rnacentral:lncRNA from 1 species